rnacentral:tRNA from 1 species
GGUUCUGUGGUGUAGUGGUUAUCACGUCUGUUUGGCACGCAGAAGGUCGCGAGUUCGAACCUCACCAGAACCU